rnacentral:rRNA from 1 species
AUUGAACGCUGGCGGCAGGCCUAACACAUGCAAGUCGAACGGUAACAGGGAUCAGCUUGCUGAUUCGCUGACGGGUGGCGGACGGGUGAGUAAUGUCUGGGAAACUGCCUGAUGGAGGGGGAUAACUACUGGAAACGGUAGCUAAUACCGCAUAACGUCGCAAGGCCAAAGAGGGGGACCUUCGGGCCUCUUGCCAUCGGAUGUGCCCAGAUGGGAUUAGCUAGUAGGUGGGGUAACGGCUCACCUAGGCGACGAUCCCUAGCUGGUCUGAGAGGAUGACCAGCCACACUGGAACUGAGACACGGUCCAGACUCCUACGGGAGGCAGCAGUGGGGAAUAUUGCACAAUGGGCGCAAGCCUGAUGCAGCCAUGCCGCGUGUAUGAAGAAGGCCUUCGGGUUGUAAAGUACUUUCAGCGGGGAGGAAGGGAGUAAAGUUAAUACCUUUGCUCAUUGACGUUACCCGCAGAAGAAGCACCGGCUAACUCCGUG